rnacentral:rRNA from 1 species
AUUGAACGCUGGCGGCAGGCCUAACACAUGCAAGUCGAACGAGUGGCGGACGGGUGAGUAAUGUCUGGGAAACUGCCUGAUGGAGGGGGGUAACUACUGGAAAAGGUAGCUAAUACCGCAUACCAUCGGAUGUGCCCAGAUGGGAUUAGCUAGUAGGUGGGGUAAAGGCUCACCUAGGCGACGAUCCCUAGCUGGUCUGAGAGGAUGACCAGCGACACUGGACCGGCACCCCGGUCAGGCCUCUAGCGGGAGGCAGCAGUGGGGAAUAUUGGACAAUGGGCGAAGGCCUGAGGCAGCCAUGCCACGUAUAUGAAGCAGGCCUCCGGGUUGUAAAGGCCUUUAAGUUGGGUGGCGUUACCAGCAGAGUAAGCACCGGCUAACUUCGUGCCAGCAGCCGCGGUAAUUC